UAGAAAAGUCCAUGAUGGUGUUACCCAACUUGUCAUCCUGUCUGAAGCAUCUCAGUGAUGCAAUCUCUGUGUUCUGAGACUUCUCUAAGU
rnacentral:snoRNA from 2 species